rnacentral:rRNA from 1 species
GCGUGGGAAUCUACCCAGUAGUGGGGGACAACAGUUGGAAACGACUGCUAAUACCGCAUACGCCCUACGGGGAAAGCAGGGAUCUUCGGACCUUGCGCUAAUAGAUGAGCCUAAGUCAGAUUAGCUAGUUGGUGGGGUAAAGGCCUACCAAGGCGACGAUCUGUAGCGGGUCUGAGAGGAUGAUCCGCCACACUGGGACUGAGACACGGCCCAGACUCCUACGGGAGGCAGCAGUGGGGAAUAUUGGACAAUGGGCGAAAGCCUGAUCCAGCCAUGCCGCGUGUGUGAAGAAGGCCUUUU